rnacentral:misc_RNA from 1 species
AACGUCACCUUGUGCGGACGCCAACGAUGAGAAUAGCAGGAGAACAUCCACACUCACGCACACAUACAGGCAAGCAAAGGCCAGUGGCGGUUUUGUAAGCGAGUUGCCUCAUCCAACGUUCACGGAACACGCCCCCCCCCCUCCCCCAAGUACGCCUCCGUCUCUCUCUCUCUGCUGGUGUGCGUGCGUCCGUGACCUCGAGACACGUGCGCUUCGAGCCGCCGGCCUCUACGCGCCAUCACAGGCACCUCAGGUGUACUCGUACCCACGUGCGCAUCAGCUCUAGCACGCACAUCCAUCAUAGAUAGUUUACUUUCCCUUCAGUUGAGGUUAAAUCGGCACAGGGCACGUACGCAGACGUGUAGGUGUAUACGCACAUCCCCUCCCCUCCCUAACCAUCUCGUGCCCUUCCUCCUUCCGUAGCUUCUCUCUGCCGCCUUACAACAGCAGGGAAAGGUGUGCCGGCCGAGCAAUGGAGGGACUUAAGAGGCAGGUUGAGCUGCUGUACGCAGCGCUACAGCCACUGGAUGUGGAUCACAGCUGCCAUCGCCAUGAACAGCCAACAACCCUUCCCGACGAGGCGGUGUCGGAACUGCAGGUAGCGCUUGCCCGCGCAACGGCGCUGGCUCACUGGGCCACCGCUGUGCAACGAGAGCAGUUGCUGCAGCAACGUCCGAGUGGCGGCAGUGGCGCACCAAGUCUGCAGUGUGGUGCCUCAGCUCAACAGCAGACGCUUGGCAGCGUCGCUGAACUGUUUAAGGUGUCUAUCGCUGACAUCCGCCAGUGGAACCCGCAACUACCGUUCGCGCUUCGCGAGGACGACGUGCUGCCGCCCGAUACGUACCUCAAGGUGCGACCUGCGGCGCCCCCGGUCUCGCCGCCGCGACCGUCGUCGACGUCGACGCCGGCGUCGCGCUUAAGGCUAGUUGCCGGCUCUACAGGGUCGUCGGGAGUCGCGGUGAGCGGCCAUACCUCGGCGAAGACGCAGGGGACUGACGCAGGGCAUGGCCACGGCGUUGCAGCUCGCCGGCACAACUCCGCAGCCAGUAGCACUCGGAGCAGUUGCUCGAGCAGGACUGCUGGUGGUGCAGGCACCUCCAUCACUGGAGUCUGCAGCGGCGUCUUUCCCUGUGGCAGCGAAGGCGGCGCGAGCCAAGGGCGAUACAGCGCCUGGACUGCGGACAGCGGACGUGGCUCGAGCCGGUCUCCUCAAGUUCCGGAGCUGUCGAUGCCAAACAGUUGCGCCAACGCCGCUCCGCCCUCCUGCGCCCCGGAACCAGUCAUGAUGUCGGUGUGCAGCAACUCAUGCUCCCCGCCAGACAGGUACUAUCUGAUCGACUUGAAGGAGGACGUGAUGGAGUCGUCACCAACUCCGAAGAGCGAUGCGAGUGCGAACGGCAAGGCCCGCUGCAGCUGCAGCGCCCCCAAAGACUCUACUCCGUCACCGCCUGUGCCUUCCCUAGCGCCGCCCCCGCUGUUCCCGGGUGCGGCCACUUUGCCAGCAGCAGCGGCCGCGGGGGCGACGCCGUGGCACGACAGCUUUCCUCGGCAAGACUUCAUUGAUGACGGCAGCUCCGUUACCAGUGUACAAGAGCUCUGCACGCGUGGCCACUCCCGUUUCUCUCCUUGCAGCCCAAUCGGGGGGAUGCCGACGGUCUCUGCUGUCACGUCGAAAGGGCGCCACUCUGACAUCGGUCCGAUGGCGCCGCCUGGCGCGAGCUCCACAGCUUCCCAGAUUAGACCGCCCUCGUCCCUGGCAGAUGGUGAGAGUGAUGGGAGGGAGCCGAGAAGGCGCACUGCCGGGUCUGCUGCAGCAGUGUCUGCAGUGCCGCCUCGGGAGGCGAAGGGAGGAGCACGGGCGUUGGCGCUGCCAUCGCCGGCGCGGGAGACAAGCGCAUCGCUCUCGGCCGUCUCGCCGCCCUCUUCGCUCGGGGCGGAUGGACGGAGCAACAGCGCCCACAGCCGCAUGCGCGCCGGCGGCGCGGCGGGGGAGGGAGAGCUGUGUGGCGCAGAGGUGCCCCGGCACCAGUGGCUCUCACCAAUGCAGCAUCGCCAGCGAGCAUCGGCGUUGUCACCGUCCCUCGCUGCCCCGUCGGACACUUCGUCGUGCUCGCCGGUGGCGAAGGAACAGUGCCCACCAUCAGCCACCACAGCAUCGAAGGCCGCGGUGAACAGUGGCGACAUCCACAGUCCGAGUGACUUCCUGACCCCCGUUCAGCACCGAGGCUGUCGUGGCCCGCAGCGCACGGCUGACAAAGCCUUUUCGAGCACCGGCCGCUCCGACAUGGAGGGCAGCCCUGCCAGCGCCUCGUGCUCCUUCCCUGGAGGCCACUCGGGGAUCGAGGCUGAGGCGAGUGAGUCACCAAGGAGCGACACAGAAGACUACAUGGAGGACGAGGAGGAGAGGACCCCCUCUAUGCGUCCGCCGGCCAUGCUAGGAUGUCACGUCAGCAGUCCCCCACCGAACCUCAGCCGCUUCCAGCAGAGCGCCUGCGCCGGAGCUCGCCUCUCCACCGCUCCGCCUCGCCUCUUCACGGCUCCGCCUCGCCGCGCAGUCGAGUCCUCACAGCAGCUGCGGCAGAAGCCAGGAGUUGAGAUGGACGCAUCGCCGUCCCCGCCGUCGCUGGCUGCUCCGUCUAUUCUGGAGCCGCCACAGCAACGGCUGCAGGAGUGGAGUGAGUUGGACGACCCCCUCGAGGGGUCGCAGCUGGCGGGCGGGGAGGACUACGACACGCUCGAGGGCAUCGCCGCAGCGUACAACCUAACGGUCUCCACUAUCAUCGAGUGGAACCCGUACCUGAAGAAGUACCGGCCAAGUGAGCCGCUCCCGCCAGACCUGCCCAUUGUCCUGCCCAUGUCGAGCGAGGACGAGGAAGAUGGCGAGGAGACGAACAACUUCGUGCGCGAGGCGGACUCUGGGCUGCUGCGGAGGCCGCGACCCAGGCUUGGGAAUCACACGCCGGGCGGAUACUCCCCGUCCGGCGCUUUAGACAAUUCGCCAACACCGCUGCGACCGCUGUAAGAGGCCCUGCGAACACCGCGCUUGUGCCCCUUCGGCCCCUGUUCCUUUACAUCUUUUCUGUGCAUCGUAGCGGCGCUGUCGACGGCAGCCCCGUCGGCGGCGGCCGGUGAUGGGCGCUGUUUGGCUUGCACGCUUUUCUUCUCCAU